CUUUCAUUCAGUUUCCAUAAAGUCAUCGAAAUGUAAACUCAAUUUUUUGCAUCCCACAUGUUGGGGAUUUAAAUACCUUACCUUAGGGCAUUAUUCCUGUUGCCUUUUGCCCAUCACAAGGCAUUUUAAGUAAAUAUGCAUCUGUAAAGCAUACAUUUUAUAUUUGAAGGGUUAUGACCCCUAUAUUUCUUUGGUGGCUCAGCUAGCAUCCAGACUUACAACCGAUUGUGGCUUCAAUCCAUAUAAACAUAAUAAUUAAAAAUUAUUAUGGUAAACAAUAAAUUAAAAUAAGGGUCUUUUAUUUAUGUUAAAAGAAUCUUAAGUAGAAUAAGUAGAAAGUAAGAGAGAAAGAUCGUCGUAAGUUGGAUGACAAAUAUAAAGAAGGCGAUGAGUACAGAAAAGAAUGGCAACAAGAAAUUGGAGACCGUGAAAAAGACUAUACGAGUAUAAAUUGAUGUGUAUAAGCAUAUCCAAAAUUAUUGAAAGUAUGUUUUUUAUAACUCAUGGAUGAAACUUUUACUAGUAAAUUAUUUGUAUGAA